rnacentral:rRNA from 1 species
CGCAUCUGUGCAUGCAGCAUAUCAAUAAGCGGAGGAAAAGAAACUAACAAGGAUUCCCCUAGUAACGGCGAGUGAAGCGGGAAGAGCUCAAAUUUGAAAUCUUAAAGGGUUUCCCUUUACGAAUUGUAGUUUAAAGAAGUGUUUUCUGUUGAGGUUUUGGUAAAAGUUCUUUGGAAUAGGACAUCAUAGAGGGUGAGAAUCCCGUAUUUGACCUUUACUUUCAACUUUGUGAUACACUUUCAAAGAGUCGGAUUGUUUGGGAAUGCAGUCCAAAAUGGGUGGUAAAUUUCAUCUAAAGCUAAAUAUUGGCGAGAGACCGAUAGCGAACAAGUACCGUGAGGGAAAGAUGAAAAGAACUUUGAAAAGAGAGUUAAACAGUACGUGAAAUUGUCAAGAGGGAAGCGUUUGACACCAGUGUUGUUUUUCUGAAAAUCAAUUAAAGAACUGUUUAUGCUAAGUUGUUUAGACUUUAUCAGCUAACUGUUUAGUUUUGAGCUUUUCUUUAAUGCACUUUUCAGUUAACAAGUCAACAUCAAUUUCUUUUGCUGUAAAAAAGCUUGAGGAAGGUGGCUUGAGAUUCGUCUUAAGUGUUUAUAGCCUCUUGCCUAUGCAGUCGGAGAGAUUGAGGUCUGCAGCGUAGAUCCUUCGGGGCUAAAUGCAUUUGUGCUAAGUUAUAGCAUUUUAUAGACAACCUUGUUGACUAUGAUUUGUCUUGUAGCUUACUCGCUUAUGUUAUUUUACCUACGCUUAGGAUGUUGAGCGCAUGUCUCUCUCU